CCUACGGGUGGCAGCAGUGAGGAAUAUUGGUCAAUGGACGAGAGUCUGAACCAGCCAAGUAGCGUGAAGGAUGACUGCCCUAUGGGUUGUAAACUUCUUUUAUAUGGGAAUAAAAUGGUCCACGUGUGGGAUUUUGUAUGUACCAUAUGAAUAAGGAUCGGCUAACUCCGUGCCAGCAGCCGCGGUAAUACGGAGGAUCCGAGCGUUAUCCGGAUUUAUUGGGUUUAAAGGGAGCGUAGGUGGAUUGUUAAGUCAGUUGUGAAAGUUUGCGGCUCAACCGUAAAAUUGCAGUUGAAACUGGCAGUCUUGAGUACAGUAGAGGUGGGCGGAAUUCGUGGUGUAGCGGUGAAAUGCUUAGAUAUCACGAAGAACUCCGAUUGCGAAGGCAGUUCACUGGACUGCAACUGACACUGAGGCUCGAAAGUGUGGGUAUCAAACAGGAUUAGAUACCCGAGUAGUC
rnacentral:rRNA from 1 species